CUGAUAAACAGAUAACAAGAUCCAUUGCUAUGUGGAAAGAAUAUCAUGUGUUGUUUCUACGCUGUUUGAAAUAAUAAAACCAAUGAAACGACGUCUUUGAGUUAUGGCCAUCUCUGUUCUAUGUGAGCGCAUAUUUUCAAAGCAGGAGCAAAAAAUAACAGACAGACGAUCCCGUCUUUCAAGCAAAAAUGUAUCAAAAAUGAUAUUUCUGAACUGCUACUUAGAAUAGAUGAACCAGAUUUCUACCCUGCUCAACACCAUGCAGCAGCUCUUCGCCAUCACUGCAUGCCCGACAGAACAAGCACUGCCUACUACUACUUUUCAAGAGUUUAGUGAACAAGACGAGGAAGGGCUCGAGUGGCUGAACCAGUUCAAUGUGCAUAUGGUAGCUCACAACGUCCCAGAUUCAUGAGUCCAGUGGACAGUGUGGCAGCAGCAGCCGCCAGAGAUUGUCAUCACGACACCGUGGGAUGAGCCCAUGGAGACAGAGCCUUCGCCUCCUCUCCCUCCUCUCGUCCUACCGAUGGAGCUGGAUCCACCUAAACUGCAGCAGUCACUGCCUUCUUCAUCUGGUUCUUAGCAGCAGGAGGUGGACAUGUACCCUUCUGGUCGCUUUCCGGGGGAUGUUCCUGCCAGAACGCAGGCCGGAUGGUGGGGUACAGCCAUAAGCUGAUCGUCCCCUGCAGCCAUGGCUUCCGGUCCGUCAGUGUCCACACUCCUGCAUCCCCUGUCAUGGUCGCACACCAUAUCCGACAACAGUUUGUUGCUUUAGGGGAGGGGGGGAGGAAUGUUCUGGCAUAAUUACAGGUGCUGGAAUGUAGAUACAGAAUGCAAAGGCAGAGAAGGCACUGAGGUAACACUGGCCAAUUGUCGCACCAAGAGCAACACCUAAAAGAAGGAAACAUAAGCAUCGCUCCUGCUAGUCUCAGCAGCUCAGAUCGGCACUGGAUUGCGGACAUUGGUUAUCAGUGACGUGUGACAACUUGCCUGAACAGUUCACAUAUCAAGGACUCUAAAUUAUAUUGCAAGUCACCCCUUGUUUGCAAC